UACGAAGGGGGCUAGCGUUGUUCGGAAUCACUGGGCGUAAAGCGCACGCAGGCGGAUCGUUAAGUCAGGGGUGAAAUCCCGAGGCUCAACCUCGGAACUGCCUUUGAUACUGGCGAUCUUGGAGUCCGGGAGAGGUGAGUGGAACUCCGAGUGUAGAGGUGAAAUUCGUAGAUAUUCGGAAGAACACCAGUGGCGAAGGCGGCUCACUGGCCCGGUACUGACGCUCAAGUGCGAAAGCGUGGGGAGCAAACAGG
rnacentral:rRNA from 1 species